GUGGGGAAUAUUGGACAAUGGGGGGAACCCUGAUCCAGCCAUGCCGCGUGUGUGAAGAAGGCCUUUUGGUUGUAAAGCACUUUAAGCGAGGAGGAGGCUUACCUGGUUAAUACCUAGGAUAAGUGGACGUUACUCGCAGAAUAAGCACCGGCUAACUCUGUGCCAGCAGCCGCGGUAAUACAGAGGGUGCGAGCGUUAAUCGGAUUUACUGGGCGUAAAGCGCGCGUAGGUGGUUAAUUAAGUCAAAUGUGAAAUCCCCGAGCUUAACUUGGGAAUUGCAUUCGAUACUGGUUAGCUAGAGUAUGGGAGAGGAUGGUAGAAUUCCAGGUGUAGCGGUGAAAUGCGUAGAGAUCUGGAGGAAUACCGAUGGCGAAGGCAGCCAUCUGGCCUAAUACUGACACUGAGGUGCGAAAGCAUGGGGAGCAAACAGGAUUAGAUACCCCGGUAGUCC
rnacentral:rRNA from 1 species